UACGAGGGGGGCAAAUGUUGUUCGGAAUCACUGGGCGUAAAGGGAGCGUAGGCGCGUUUUUAAGUCAGGUGUUUAAUCCCGGGGCCCAACCCCGGACCGGCACUUGAAACUGGGAAUCUUGAAUAGUGGAGAGGUCAGUGGAAUUGGGGGUGUAGCGGUGGAAUGCGUAGAGAUCCCCAAGAACACCAGUUGCGAAGGCGGCUGACUGGACACAUAUUGACGCUGAGGCUCGAAAGCAUGGGGAGCAAACAGG
rnacentral:rRNA from 1 species